GGGCCGGUAGCUUAGCCAGGCAGAGCGCGGGACUCUUAAUCCCGCAGUCGGGGGUUCAAAUCCCUCCCGGCCCG
rfam:Archaeoglobus fulgidus DSM 4304, complete genome.